UAAUACAUGCAAGUCGAGCGAAUCGAUGGGAGCUUGCUCCCUGAGAUUAGCGGCGGACGGGUGAGUAACACGUGGGCAACCUGCCUAUAAGACUGGGAUAACUUCGGGAAACCGGAGCUAAUACCGGAUACGUUCUUUUCUCGCAUGAGAGAAGAUGGAAAGACGGUUUCGGCUGUCACUUAUAGAUGGGCCCGCGGCGCAUUAGCUAGUUGGUGAGGUAAUGGCUCACCAAGGCGACGAUGCGUAGCCGACCUGAGAGGGUGAUCGGCCACACUGGGACUGAGACACGGCCCAGACUCCUACGGGAGGCAGCAGUAGGGAAUCUUCCGCAAUGGACGAAAGUCUGACGGAGCAACGCCGCGUGAACGAAGAAGGCCUUCGGGUCGUAAAGUUCUGUUGUUAGGGAAGAACAAGUACCAGAGUAACUGCUGGUACCUUGACGGUACCUAACCAGAAAGCCACGGCUAACUACGUGCCAGCAGCCGCGGUAAUACGUAGGUGGCAAGCGUUGUCCGGAAUUAUUGGGCGUAAAGCGCGCGCAGGUGGUUCUUUAAGUCUGAUGUGAAAGCNCACGGCUCNNNNNNGGAGGGUCAUUGGAAACUGGGGAACUUGAGUGCAGAAGAGGAAAGUGGAAUUNNNAGUGUAGCGGUGAAAUGCGUAGAGAUUUGGAGGAACNNNNGUGGCGAAGGCGACUUUCUGGUCUGUAACUGACACUGAGGCGCGAAAGCGUGGGGAGCAAACAGGAUUAGAUACCNCUGGUAGUCCACGCCGUAAACGAUGAGUGCUAAGUGUUAG
rnacentral:rRNA from 1 species